AGCUUCAGAUGUGGACACAUAAGUCAACGGUUGGAAAUCCAAAAAAAACUUGGGAGCUAUCAAAGGGUUUCAACAAUAUUUUCUUUGGAUAGGUUGUAUUUUCCCUUGUUCUGUGUGCAAACAUCUUCGAGUA